rnacentral:rRNA from 1 species
GGGGGAUAUUGCACAAUGGGGGAAACCCUGAUGCAGCGACGCCGCGUGGAGGAAGAAGGUUUUCGGAUUGUAAACUCCUGUCGUUAGGGACGAUAAUGACGGUACUCAACAAGGAAGUGACGGCUAACUACGUGCCAGCAGCCGCGGUAAAACGUAGGUCACAAGCGUUGUCCGGAAUUACUGGGUGUAAAGGGAGCGCAGGCGGGAAGACAAGUUGGAAGUGAAAUCCAUGGGCUCAACCCAUGAACUGCUUUCAAAACUGUUUUUCUUGAGUAGUGCAGAGGUAGGCGGAAUUCCCGGUGUAGCGGUGGAAUGCGUAGAUAUCGGGAGGAACACCAGUGGCGAAGGCGGCCUACUGGGCACCAACUGACGCUGAGGCUCGAAAGUGUGGGUAGCAAACAGGAUUAGAUACCCUGGUAGUCCACACUGUAAACGAUGAUUACUAGGUGUUGGAGGAUUGACCCCUUCAGUGCCGCAGUUAACACAAUAAGUAAUCCACCUGGGGAGUACGACCGCAAGGUUGAAACUCAAAGGAAUUGACGGGGGCCCGCACAAGCAGUGGAGUAUGUGGUUUAAUUCGACGCAACGCGAAGAACCUUACCAAGUCUUGACAUCCUGCGACGGUGCUAGAAAUAGUAUUUUCCUUCGGGACGCAGAGACAGGUGGUGCAUGGUUGUCGUCAGCUCGUGCCGUGAGAUGUUGGGUUAAGUCCCGCAACGAGCGCAACCCUUAUGGUCAGUUACUACGCAAGAGGACUCUGACCAGACUGCCGUUGACAAAACGGAGGAAGGUGGGGAUGACGUCAAAUCAUCAUGCCCUUUAUGACUUGGGCUACACACGUACUACAAUGGCGUUAAACAAAGAGAAGCAAGACCGCGAGGUGGAGCAAAACUCAGAAACAACGUCCCAGUUCGGACUGCAGGCUGCAACUCGCCUGCACGAAGUCGGAAUUGCUAGUAAUCGUGGAUCAGCAUGCCACGGUGAAUACGUUCCCG